GAUGAACGCUAGCUACAGGCUUAACACAUGCAAGUCGCGGGGCAGCAUGGGGGUUGCUUGCAAUCCCCGAUGGCGACCGGCGCACGGGUGAGUAACGCGUAUCCAACCUGCCCUUCACCACGGGAUAACCCGGCGAAAGUCGGACUAAUACCGUAUGUUGUCCAUUGACGGCAUCCGAUUUGGACGAAAGGUUUGGCGGUGAAGGAGGGGGAUGCGUCCGAUUAGCUGGACGGCGGGGUGACGGCCCACCGUGGCGACGAUCGGUAGGGGUGCUGAGAGGAAGGUCCCCCACACUGGAACUGAGACACGGUCCAGACUCCUACGGGAGGCAGCAGUGAGGAAUAUUGGUCAAUGGGCGUAAGCCUGAACCAGCCAAGUAGCGUGCAGGAUGACGGCCCUAUGGGUUGUAAACUGCUUUUAUGCGGGGAUAAAGUGGCCCACGUGUGGGUUUUUGCAGGUACCGCAUGAAUAAGGACCGGCUAAUUCCGU
rnacentral:rRNA from 1 species